GUCGUUGUAGUAUAGUGGUGAGUAUUCCCGCCUGUCAUGCGGGUGACCCUGGUUCGUUCCCCAGCAGAGUCG
rnacentral:tRNA from 1 species